UCGUGUUGUGAAAGCACAAAAGUUAAUAGCACCUGCUGACGGUCUAAUAAGAGAUAAACAUACUUGAUCGCUUAUACUUAUAAACGGAAAACCAGAUCACUUACCAUGUCAAAGAGCUUCGUUGAACGUCCAAAAAUUCCUUCCAUGACCGAAAUUGCUAAAGACUUAGAAGAGGCACCUACUGAUGACGUUGUUUUACAAAAAUUAAAUUGUGUGUCCUCUCAUAGUAUUGGCAGUAAUGCUGCCAGUAGUGAAGAAAGUGACAUAGACGCAGAUGAUGAAAAUAACAGAUUGAAAUUAGAGAAACUGAAUGCUGAGAUUAGUGAAGCAUGUUCUAAAGCUCGUCAGAUGGUUAAAUUAUGUGAAAUAUUACAAGAAGCACCAUCUAAAUUAGAGCAUGAAUACAAAGAUUUAGAACAUCAGGGACUUGAAGUGUCGAGUGCCAUUGAAGAUUUAAGACGUUCUUCACAAACUGUACCUUCACCAUCCACAAAACAAACCUCAAAAAAAAAGAAAGGAAAAAAAUAAAAACAUUAAUUUUACUUUUGUGUGUCGGUAAUCAACAUUACUUUAUGGUAUAUCAAGAUCUUAAAUAUAUGAUGCACAUUAGGCGUUCACUAUAAUGGCGUAGAGCAGGGGGUGUCAAAUUCAUUUCGAUCCAGGGGUCACAUGAACUAAAUUUUCCAUCAAGUGAGCCGGAGAUAUACAAAAAUUCUAAAAACAAAGCAAAACCUCCUUGAACUUUACUGAAUUCUAAAAUCAAAGCCAAACGUGGAUGUGACAUAGGUAAUUUUUUAGACUGGUUUCCAAAUUGCCAAGAUAUAAUAUUGAACAUAACCUUCUCGUGUAUUACAUACAUAUCUAUGAUAUACAGUAUGGAAGUGAAAGUUUUACUGAAACCCGGAUAACAAUAAUAAAUAUUUUCACCACUGGGUUCUAAGAAUUAUCGACACGUCAGUUUGUUGAAAUUUGUUCCACGGGCCACAUUGAAACCCUUGGCAGACAGGAUCUGGCCCAAGGGUCGCAUGUUCGACAACCUUGGCAUAGAAAGUCUGCCCAAAGGAUGCUGAACUACACUUUUAUAGUACACAAAUCUAUAUUAUGUAGAGUUUCCAGUCUUUUGAUCAUGUUUUUCCAUUGGAGUAGUGUUUGGACAAUUGUGGUGGGUUACAAGGUUUUGAUGAGAGUAAUCUAUAGUGCAUGGGUUACUAGGUUUAGCCAGACACUGUGACUAUUGAGUAUAAAAAGUGUAUAUUAUGUUAAAUAAGUAUGAAACACUUCGUUGUAUACACUCGUUCCAUUCAUAAUUACUGUUUAUUUAGAUUAAACUAACAAAUCAUAGUAAAAGAAGCUCAGUAAUAAAUAGUAAUUAUAUUUUA